CUCGUGUCGUGAGAUGUUGGGUUAAGUCCCGCAACGAGCGCAACCCCUGCAUUCAGUUGCCAUCGGGUGAAGCCGGGCACUCUGGAAGGACUGCCAUCGACAAGAUGGAGGAAGGUGGGACGACGUCAAGUCAUCAUGGCCCUUAUGUCCAGGGCGACACACGUGCUACAAUGGCCGGCACAACGGGAAGCGAGUUCGCGAGGACGAGCGGAUCCCUUAAAGCCGGUCGCAGUUCGGAUUGAAGUCUGCAACUCGACUUCAUGAAGCUGGAAUCGCUAGUAAUCGCAGAUCAGCCAAGCUGCGGUGAAUACGUUCCCGGGCCUU
rnacentral:rRNA from 1 species